rnacentral:lncRNA from 1 species
CACGGCACUUGCAACUGUGCUAUUAGGGUGUACUGAGCUGUCUUACAGUAGCUUGGCAUCAUAACAUGGCUAUUAUAAGCUGUUCUGUUAGAAAUCAGUGCAGAAACACUAAAACAUCGUUUUGGAGCUUUUCAGGCCUUAAAGGGCCCAUAUCAUGCAAAAUCCACUUUUUAGACAUUUUGGAGCGUCCCUAUGACUCUAUGGGUCACAUAUACACACACUGAGCACGGUAGAAAUGCAUUUCCUGCUUUUUUCACAUUUUGAAAACGUAAAUUUUCUGAUCCAAUGAAAACAGCCACGAACUACUCCGAGGCCGUUCCCCAGGUUUCGUCAUACUGGUUGAAAGUUCUCCUUGCAAAUCCUGAACCACCACCCCCACAAUGAUCCCGAACCAAAACUGGACUUCCGCCAUUUCCCCCCUCUCACUCACCGUGAACAGACCAGCACUGCAGCGCCCAAGUCCUCCCAUAGAAAUAGUUCGGUUCUUAGGUGUUCUAACCAACACCAAAGUCUCUUCACUUUACCAAGGGAUCAACAAGUGAGGAUUUGUGGGUCACUUUUAUUUUUAACGGACCGGUGCCAGAAACACUGCCUCAGCAUUUAUACGUGUGUGCAUUUCAAACGAGGGUGCGUACAAUGCUGGAUUUGUUUCACGGCUCCUGUUGGAAAAAAAGGACCUAUUCCUAAAGUCCGUCAUCCACUCACUGAAGAGGGCAAAUCCCAGUUGCCCACAUGCAAGGAGGCUGUCAAACAGAGAAAUCACUGCAUACUGUUGGUCGUCUGCUGCCCAGCUCAGGAGUAAAGUACCUUUUGUUUUGAUGAGGUGAUGGUGAGGACAGCCACAGCUUCCAUCUGGUAGAGGACUGCUUCCGCUCAGUCUUCCAAAUAGUGAUGAGAACAAGGAUCGCCACAUCUCCCUGUUUACCCUACUUUCAUGCAUUUCGUCUGCAAGGCCCUUCAAAAGCUUCUCCUUCGUCCUCAAACCCCCAGACUUCUUAAUUAACUCAGUAACCUAUACAUUGCACAUUGGAGUGUGAAGGUAACAGUUUGUUCUAGCUUUGGAGUAGUGGUGUAUUUUUUUGGUUUACAAUAAAGUUGGCUUUAACUAUUAUGUAUUUCA